AUUAUCUUCAUCUGCACUGUUGUAACGGGCCACAUCUGGAGACACCUUGAACUUGGACUCCACAUACUGAGGCUGGGUCUCUGGGGCACUGAAGCUGUUGGGAAAGUAGUUUGGAGCUCCACCUAGGAGUCGGACAGACCGGACACCGGCUCAGAAAAAGACUCAUGGGAUGGACUAUGACUUACCUUGGUUGUCAAACAUGCACAUUGGACCAUCACGCUGGUAGUUGGCCACACGGGCCCUGAAGGGGCAGUUGACCGGGAUCUGCAGAUAGUUGGCUCCCAGCCGGUGUCGAUGUGUGUCUGGGUAGGAGAAGAGGCGACCCUAGACAAAGACAUGGGAGAGCAUCGUUACACAGUAUCAGGCAUGAAAACGGGUCAGGGGUGAAAAAGGUGAGAAGGAUAUUACCUUCUAGGGGGGCCGGGGGCAUGCUCCCCCUGGAAGAAAAUGUUGAAUAUUCCAUAUUUUAAAGCAUCAAUCUGAUGCAUUUUGAGAUGCAUUUUUUGCCAACCUGGGGAGAGCUGGAGAAACUUAACUUCAGCCAUGAGUCAAAAAUAUUAUGGCCUCCUUACUAAGUAUUAUGUAAGCCAUUGUCAGCCAGCCUGUCACUGGGUCUAGAAUUUACAGUAUAUGAGGCACAAUGUGGCUUAAUGCAUAACCCCCACAAGAGAUGGUGGACAUGCUGUAACUUAACUUGUCUACUCUUCCAUCAGGAUUGACAGCCAAUACAAUGUUAUAUAAUUCAGAUUUGAAUACAUUUUAUUUUUCUGUCUUUUCUGUCUCUCUCUCUGUGUCUCUCCCUGUGUCUCUCCCUGUGUCUCUCUCUCUCUCUGUCUCUCUGUGUGUCUCUGUGUGUCUCUCUCUCUCUGUCUCUCUCUCUGUCUCUCUCUCUGUGUGUGUGUCUCUCUCUCUCUCUGUCUCUCUCUGUGUGUGUCUCUCUCUGUCUCUCUGUCUGUCUCUCUCUGAAUGGAACCAUAAGCCAAAAUCAUUCAAGCUUAGUUUUUUGUUACUAUGGAAUACACUUUCAGUUUGUUUAGACAGACAAGUGUAACUUGUGUUAGUGCAUUAUGCACAUUUUAUUUAUUGUUAUUGAGGAAUGCACUUUUUCCUAUUGUGUUUACAUAUAAAUGUUUAAAUCUAA